GGUGUCUUAAGCCAGACGGUUUAAGACUUAAUAGGGAAGUCCGGUGUAAACCCGGCGCGGUCCCGCCACUGUAACAGGGGAGUCAAAUACAAUUGUUGCCACUGGCUUAUACCAUGAAGCUGGGAAGGUUUGUAUUUGAUGCUGAUCCUGAGAGCCAGGAGACCUGCCUAUUCUA
rnacentral:ncRNA from 1 species